GACGAACGCUGGCGGCGUGCCUAACACAUGCAAGUCGAACGAAGUGGCGAACGGGUGAGUAACGCGUAAUCAACCUGCCCUUCAGAGGGGGAAAACAGUUGGAAACGACUGCUAAUACCGCAUCCGGACGGAGGGGCUUGCGUCUGAUUAGCUAGUUGGAGGGGUAACGGCCCACCAAGGCGAGGAUCAGUUGCCGGUCUGAGAGGAUGAACGGCCACAUUGGGACUGAGACACGGCCCAGACUCCUACGGGAGGCAGCAGUGGGGAAUCUUCCGCAAUGGACGAAAGUCUGACGGAGCAACGCCGCGUGAGUGAUGACGGCCUUCGGGUUGUAAAGCUCUGUUAAUCGGGACGCGGUACCGGAAUAGAAAGCCACGGCUAACUACGUGCCAGCAGCCGCGGUAAUUC
rnacentral:rRNA from 1 species